GUACGGGGGGAGCAAGCGUUUGUUCGGAUUUACUGGGCGUAAAGGGCGCGUAGGCGGCCACCGCAAGUCGAUUGUGAAAUCUCCGGGCUUAACCCGGAAAGGUCAACCGAGUACUGCGGGGCUAGAGUGCAGAAGGGGCAACUGGAAUCUCGGUGUAGCGGUGAAAUGCGUAGAUAUCGAAGAGGAACACCAGUGGCGAAGGCGGCUCACUGGUCCGGUACUGACGCUGGAGGUGCGAAAGCGUGGGGAGCAAACAGG
rnacentral:rRNA from 1 species